AAAAGAGAAAUCCUAUGUUUAAGACUACAAACAGGUAUGUUCUUAACUCUGACUGCUAUGCUCAAAAUUUGGUAGGGCAAUUUUACAGUAUAUACACAAGAGACACAACCACCCACUGUCACCAAAAAAAAAAAAAAAAAGCUAGAGGAUGUAACAACUAAAAAGAAUAUAGUUGCAACCUUGUAGCUGCAACAUCAUCCUUCUAAGAAUCUCCCUAAAUUGCAAUAUGUGUUGUGUCGGUAGAAACUAACAGAAGAACAUUUGGCACAAGCAAAUAAAUGUCGGGCCUGCAAUGCACCUCAAAUUAUGCGUUAAGGCGGUGCAAAAGGGGUUAUUCUAGUUGUUGGGCAGACUGACUGUACAUUUCUGCAAAAUACUCUUCAAACAUUGUUGAAGGCUGAGCUGAAUGUUUUUUUUCCAUCCGAAGUAAAACUUUAAACAGGAAAUCAGAACCCUAGUUACAAGGAGCAAGACCAGGCAUUAAAGAGUAGAAAUGAAACAGGCCUAAUUCUUAACUGAAGUCAUUACUGAAGCCCAUUGGUUAUGUAAUGCGACUUGGAAACUCGCAUCAUGGAAAACUUAAGGUGCGAGAUUUUAACUUAAACACAAAGGAUAUAUAUAUUUAAUGGGUGAUGAUUGCACAACUCUUUAGAGCUGUUGUGUUGAAAAUAAUGCGCAUACCAAGGUUGUAGGCGAACAGUGAUUCAGUUCGGUAAUAAGUCAGUUUUACAAUAAGCAGUUCCUAGUAACUGAUACACACAAGGUUAGGGGCAUAUGCAUAUAUGCAAUGGCUGUAGUAUUAUGCUGAUGUAAUACAAACCCUGUCUUCUGAGCCAGGCAGACAAAGGUGGAGGAGAUGCAGAUACGUACAGAGAUACAAAGCAGCAGGGGGAAAAAACAUAAAAAGGAGAGGGUGAAAAUAAAAUGAUGCAAUGAAAGUCAAGACAGGGAAUCUCUUUAACUAAUCAUAUACAAAUAAUCACGGCAAAAGUAAUAUCCAAUUGGGUAAGAGCUAAGUGAUUGGUUGACAUGAGUGCUCCAUAAAAGUGGCUGUUGAGCCUGGUUGCUAUGGUAACUGGAUAGUGACCUGGAGACUGGUGACAGUUUUUUUUAAUUUUUUUUAUAGAAAACUGAAUGCAAGGAUACAAAGAGAUGAGGGAGGAGGAACUUUUAUCAAAUCGCACACAACUUGAAAAUCGUCAUUUUCACAAGAAAAACCUUGAUCUUUCAUUCCAAGAAAAAAAA